CGAGAUUCCCCCAGUAGCGGCGAGCGAACGGGGAGCAGCCCAGAGCCUGAAUCAGUGUGUGUGUUAGUGGAAGCGUCUGGAAAGGCGCGCGAUACAGGGUGACAGCCCCGUACACAAAAAUGCACAUGCUGUGAGCUCGAUGAGUAGGGCGGGACACGUGGUAUCCUGUCUGAAUAUGGGGGGACCAUCCUCCAAGGCUAAAUACUCCUGACUGACCGAUAGUGAACCAGUACCGUGAGGGAAAGGCGAAAAGAACCCCGGCGAGGGGAGUGAAAAAGAACCUGAAACCGUGUACGUACAAGCAGUGGGAGCACGCUUAGGCGUGUGACUGCGUACCUUUUGUAUAAUGGGUCAGCGACUUAUAUUCUGUAGCAAGGUUAACCGAAUAGGGGAGCCGAAGGGAAACCGAGUCUUAACUGGGCGUUAAGUUGCAGGGUAUAGACCCGAAACCCGGUGAUCUAGCCAUGGGCAGGUUGAAGGUUGGGUAACACUAACUGGAGGACCGAACCGACUAAUGUUGAAAAAUUAGCGGAUGACUUGUGGCUGGGGGUGAAAGGCCAAUCAAACCGGGAGAUAGCUGGUUCUCCCCGAAAGCUAUUUAGGUAGCGCCUCGUGAAUUCAUCUCCGGGGGUAGAGCACUGUUUCGGCAAGGGGGUCAUCCCGACUUACCAACCCGAUGCAAACUGCGAAUACCGGAGAAUGUUAUCACGGGAGACACACGGCGGGUGCUAACGUCCGUCGUGAAGAGGGAAACAACCCAGACCGCCAGCUAAGGUCCCAAAGUCAUGGUUAAGUGGGAAACGAUGUGGGAAGGCCCAGACAGCCAGGAUGUUGGCUUAGAAGCAGCCAUCAUUUAAAGAAAGCGUAAUAGCUCACUGGUCGAGUCGGCCUGCGCGGAAGAUGUAACGGGGCUAAACCAUGCACCGAAGCUGCGGCAGCGACGCUUAUGCGUUGUUGGGUAGGGGAGCGUUCUGUAAGCCUGUGAAGGUGUGCUGUGAGGCAUGCUGGAGGUAUCAGAAGUGCGAAUGCUGACAUAAGUAACGAUAAAGCGGGUGAAAAGCCCGCUCGCCGGAAGACCAAGGGUUCCUGUCCAACGUUAAUCGGGGCAGGGUGAGUCGACCCCUAAGGCGAGGCCGAAAGGCGUAGUCGAUGGGAAACAGGUUAAUAUUCCUGUACUUGGUGUUACUGCGAAGGGGGGACGGAGAAGGCUAUGUUGGCCGGGCGACGGUUGUCCCGGUUUAAGCGUGUAGGCUGGUUUUCCAGGCAAAUCCGGAAAAUCAAGGCUGAGGCGUGAUGACGAGGCACUACGGUGCUGAAGCAACAAAUGCCCUGCUUCCAGGAAAAGCCUCUAAGCAUCAGGUAACAUCAAAUCGUACCCCAAACCGACACAGGUGGUCAGGUAGAGAAUACCAAGGCGCUUGAGAGAACUCGGGUGAAGGAACUAGGCAAAAUGGUGCCGUAACUUCGGGAGAAGGCACGCUGAUACGUAGGUGAAGUCCCUCGCGGAUGGAGCUGAAAUCAGUCGAAGAUACCAGCUGGCUGCAACUGUUUAUUAAAAACACAGCACUGUGCAAACACGAAAGUGGACGUAUACGGUGUGACGCCUGCCCGGUGCCGGAAGGUUAAUUGAUGGGGUCAGCGCAAGCGAAGCUCUUGAUCGAAGCCCCGGUAAACGGCGGCCGUAACUAUAACGGUCCUAAGGUAGCGAAAUUCCUUGUCGGGUAAGUUCCGACCUGCACGAAUGGCGUAAUGAUGGCCAGGCUGUCUCCACCCGAGACUCAGUGAAAUUGAACUCGCUGUGAAGAUGCAGUGUACCCGCGGCAAGACGGAAAGACCCCGUGAACCUUUACUAUAGCUUGACACUGAACAUUGAGCCUUGAUG
rnacentral:rRNA from 1 species